UGAGCAUGACGUCAUCGUCCUUGCGGGCGUCCUCACAAAUUACCUGCAUUCAGAGAUGCGUAUCGGCACAGGCCGGGGUGCGAAAGUCCCAUCAUGGGGCCUUAGCUCAGCUGGGAGAGCACCUGCUUUUGCAAGCAGGGGGUCGUCGGUUCGAUCCCGACAAGGCUCCCACCCAGAUCUGCAAGAUCCCUCUGCAAACGGCCCCACACAUCCGUGUGUGGACUGCUGAGGGAAACGCAAGAGCACACGACUUUGGGUCUGUAGCUCAGGUGGUUAGAGCGCACCCCUGAUAAGGGUGAGGUCCGGUGGUUCGAGUCCUCCCAGACCCACCACUCUGAAUGUAGUGCACACUUAAGAAUUUAUACGGAUCAGCGUUGAGGCUGGUACGUGUUCUUUUAUAACUUAUGACGUAGCGAGCGUUUGAGAUAUCUAUCUAAAACGUGUCCGUUGAGGCUAAGGCGGGGGACUUCGAGUCCCUAGAAAUUGAGUCGUAUGUUCGCGUUGGUGGCUUUGUACCCCACACAACACGGCAUGUGACCCCGAGGCAACUUGGGGUUAUA
rnacentral:misc_RNA from 1 species